rnacentral:rRNA from 1 species
CCUACGGGCGGCAGCAGUGAGGAAUAUUGGUCAAUGGUCGGGAGACUGAACCAGCCAAGCCGCGUGAGGGAGGAAGGUACAGAGUAUCGUACACCUCUUUUGUCAGUGAACAAAGGCGGGGACGUGUCCCCGGAUGAGUGUACCUGAAGACAAAGCAUCGGCUAACUCCGUGCCAGCAGCCUCGGUCAUACGGGGGAUGCGAGCGUUAUCCGGAGUUCUUGGGUUUAAAGGGUGCGCAGGCUGUCUGUUAAGUCAGCGGUCAAAGCCCGGGGCUCAACCCCGGCCCGCCGUUGAAACUGGCAGUCUCGAGUUGGAGAGAAGUAUGCGGAAUGCGCGGUGUAGCGGUGAAAUGCAGAGAUAUCGCGCAGAACUCCGAUUGCGAAGGCAGCAGGCCGGCUCCACACUGACGCUGAGGCACGAAAGCGUGGGUAUCGAACAGGAUUAGAUACACCGGUAGUC